rnacentral:rRNA from 1 species
GGUUUGGGAUUGGGGAGAAGGGAGAGGGGGGUAACCUGACAGCGGCGGUGGCGUGGGAUGCUGCCGGCGGCGCUGGAGGGGAGGGGAGGGUGGAGUUCCGCGAGGAGGGCGGCAAGUGCGGGCGCGCGGACGAGGAGUAGCGGAGCGAGUAGCGGAAGGGGUAGCUGGUGGGUGAGGCACUGGUGGAGUAGCGGUGGCGGCGGAGGCAGGAGCGGAGGCGCAAGAGGCGCGUCCAGAGGCUGGUGACUGUUCUACGUCGGUAUGGAGAGGUAGAGAGGGUACAACGGUCUAGCUCGGCUGCUCCAGGCAGGUGCCGGUCUAGGCGGUGCCGGUGGCUCCCGGAAGGUCUAGGCGCGGCAGCAACUCGACCUAGGUGCGGGACGAUCCGUGUGGUACCGGCUGCAGGAGUUCCGCUGGAGGUACCUGCUGUAGCUACUGUUCCUGCUCCUCCUUCUGCUGGUACUGUACGCACUGGGGUGGGGGCUCGGGCUGCUCGAACUGCUCCUCUACAGUUCAGGUUGGAGCUCGAGCUGGUACUGCCGCAGCAGGUCGGGCUGGUACUGCUACGCGGUGUCUUCCCACGGGUCUUAAACUUUUCCUACUUCGCGUCGUCGUUUUAGCCUUUUCUUUAGUAACGACGUGUUCUCCUGGUUUGGACCUAGCCAGCUAUUGUAGACUCAAUUAUUGGACGCGGUAUUCAACCAACAGCCAAAACUCUUGUUCGAAACAUCGCGGUUGAAGCUAAUGUUCGAUGUGAGGAGCCGCUUUUCCUC